CAGCAGCCGCGGGAAUACGUAGGGUGCAAGCGUUAAUCGGAUUUACUGGGCGUAAAGCGCACGUAGGCGGACUUUUAAGUCAGGGGUGAAAUCCCGGGGCUCAACCCCGGAACUGCCUUUGAUACUGGAAGUCUUGAGUAUGGUAGAGGUGAGUGGAAUUCCGAGUGUAGAGGUGAAAUUCGUAGAUAUUCGGAGGAACACCAGUGGCGAAGGCGGCUCACUGGACCAUUACUGACGCUGAGGUGCGAAAGCGUGGGGAGCAAACAGGAUUAGAUACCCCCGUAGUCCCUGUCUCUUAUAC
rnacentral:rRNA from 1 species